UGGGGCUCGAUCCCACAACGCCAGGAUCACGCCCUGAGCCGAAGGCAGACGCUUAACCGCUGUGCUGCCCAGGCGCCCCAUCAAAACUACAUCUUAUUCAGAUGGUUCAGAUUGGACAGUUUUUAUUUUCCCCUCAGUGUUACCCACUCUCCUGCAAAUCAGACAGAGGACUCAUUGUGCUGGCCCAACUGGGACCCCAGAGCUUUUGGACCUCUGCUGACUUAAAGGCAUCCCAAGUGGGGUUCUGUAGGCACAUUGAGCUCACAUUCUUGAACUCAGGAAGCAGUGUAAAUGAUUGUUGGCUAGCCUUGAAUGUAUCAGAAUUUGUCCCCAAAAAGAAGAAAACAAAUUACAAAUUCUUUAAGAUUUCUCAUCAAGUGCCAUUGCUAAAUUUGAGCACAAACAUCUGGAUCUUGACCUAGAUUAAAAAGACACCAUUCUUACAUCCCCACUACACAGCAUCAAAUGAAAUUUGUGCUUUCUUUAAAUUUUUAACUUUUUCUUUAAAUUUUGUUUAAAUUUCUUUAUAUUCCAUCUUAUUAAAUUCUACUACAUAAAUUACCUUCUUCCAAAUUGAGAUCACCAAGUAAAUCUGUCUUCAGCCCAAGAAUUUAUCUGGUUAUAAUUUACUAAGCCAAGUUUUUAUUCUGAAUUUCACUGUGUUAUUCGCAUUCUCAUUCUCAUAAUAAAAUAGAAUCCAAGUUCUUCAGUUAUUGUACAGAAACACCUUUCAACAGGAAGCCUCGAGUGUAGAGUAGAAAGUCUGUUUUAGCUGCCACCCUCGUGGAGUCUCAAGCUUGUCUCCAUCAUAGGAAAGACAUCCUUUUAAGCCCUGGGAAUCCCUGGAUUCCUUAUGAGUGGUUUCUAGCUCCCAUAUAGAACUCAUUGGGAAUAGCUUCCCAUUCCUCUUCCACUUGAGUGUUCUGCCUGUACUUUGGAUUAACGCUGACAUAAGAUUUUUGGUUCCACCAUUUCUGAUACAUCUGUAAGUUAUGGAUGCCUCCAUCUCUGACUGGUGAGUACGUGACUACACAAACAAUAGUUUGGCUUAUGGUCUCAGGAUCUUUUAUUGCCAUAGUGGAAAUGCCAGCAUCAUGACGUGGCCAAAAUGCUGUCCCAAGGUCAGGAUAUGAAAGAGAUCCAUCAGUCCACGCGUGCCUCUUGCGUUGGAGCUAGUUACUAAACCAGGAGAAUUAACUGAAAGACGGAUAUGAGCAUGGGCACUGACUCCUGGAAGAGCGGCUCUGUCUGAGCCCAGAGUGCACACAGUGGGAGCAGGAUGCUUCUGGCUCACGGUCUGCCAGACCAAAAUGAAUCUGUGAAGGACAGGACCCCGCUUCUGCCUCUGUUCAUCUUUCCUGACAUAGAAGAUGAAUGUGGGAGAGCUUCUCUUCAAACUACAUCUGAUCCAGACAAGGAAGAAAGCAGUUAAUGUGGGCUGGGUAACUGUACCUACCUCUCUUCCCACUACAAAAUUUUGGGAUGGACUUCUCCCAAAAGGGAAUUUGAUUAUGUGUUGGCUGAAAUUUCUUCAGUAUGACUGUUAAGGGAUUUUUCUCUGAAGGAUUUUCAUCCCAGACUCAGCUGUCUUUUCACAUUGGAUGAACUAAGUCCUGCCACCAACCAUAAAACUUCACCAAGAAGUUGAGCUUUCCAGAUGCCUUGUUGCUUUGGAGAAGGGAGUGAUGUCAGUUCUGUUGUGGCAUUCUCCCUUUAGCAACCUGAGUAAGAGACUCUCUGCCACUGGGCUGCAAAAAAAUAAAUUACUUGAAUCCCUACUCGGCCCGGGCUGAGGUACUAUCUUGUCAUACCCACUUCUACUUGGUCACUUUGCUUUCUUUGUUUAUGGAAUAUACAGUAGCAUGUUAAAAAGUUUUUUGUUUUUUUUUUUCAAGUUAAAUAUCACAUGAUUCAGAGCUUCAGUUGUUUUCCCUUUAAAUAAACAAGACAGCCCAGUCA